rnacentral:rRNA from 1 species
UACGAAGGGGGCUAGCGUUGCUCGGAAUCACUGGGCGUAAAGCGCACGUAGGCGGAUUGUUAAGUCAGGGGUGAAAUCCUGGAGCUCAACUCCAGAACUGCCUCUGAUACUGAGGAGCUCGAGUCCGGGAGAGGUGAGUGGAACUCCGAGUGUAGAGGUGAAAUUCGUAGAUAUUCGGAAGAACACCAGUGGCGAAGGCGGCUCACUGGCCCGUUACUGACGCUGAGGCACGAAAGCGUGGGGAGCAAACAGG